rnacentral:rRNA from 1 species
GAUGAACGCUGGCGGUCUGCUUAACACAUGCAAGUCGAACGGAAGUAGCAAUACUUUAGUGGCGGACGGGUGAGUAACACGUAAAAAUCUGCCUCCAGGACGGGAAAAACAGUUGGAAACGACUGCUAAUUCCGGAUGAGCCGAAAGGUAAAAAGAAAUUCGCCUGGAGAUGAGCUUGCGGCUGAUUAGCUAGUUGGUAGGGUAAGAGCCUACCAAGGCGACGAUCAGUAGCUGGUCUGAGAGGAUGAGCAGCCACACUGGGACUGAGACACGGCCCAGACUCCUACGGGAGGCAGCAGUGGGGAAUUUUCCGCAAUGGGCGAAAGCCUGACGGAGCAAGACCGCGUGGGGGAGGAAGGUUCUUGGAUUGUCAACCCCUUUUCUCAAGGAAGAAGAUCUGACGGUACUUGAGGAAUCAGCAUCGGCUAACUCCGUGCCAGCCGCCGCGGUAAAAC